UAACAACCUUUCUUUCUUAAUUCACUCAAUACAAUAUUUUGUUGUGAUUUGCAAGGUAGUUUCGAGAUAUAUAUAUACACAAAUCAACUUGACUAGUCAUUUUUAAAAGUAUUUUUUGAAAUUAGGAGAGAAUAAUUAAUAAACUAUUUAAUAGUUGCAUAUUCGUGGGAAAAUGUUCAUUGGUCAAACAUACAUACAGUGAUACUAUACUAGCCACUUUAUUAUUUUUCUAUGCUUCUUCACAAGCUGCAAAGUUUGCAAACUAGAAAGAAAGAUAGUAUAUAUAUCUUAGCAAGGAAAAAUUCUAAGGAUUAAAGAUGAAGCUCAUGAAUGAGUGAAACUGGUGAUGCAGAAAGCAAAAUCAAGAUAUUGACGCGCUUCAAUUUGACGACAUGGCUAUAAAAAUGCAUUAUAUCAGCCAUGUAGUUUGAUUGAGCCGCGUCAAUAUCUUGUUUCCAUCUCCAAAUUUACCCAUAUCUCAUCAAACGCCAUAAGCAAGGUAUUCUUGCGUUUUCGGAGCCUUGAGGAAUAAAGUGUCGAAGACACGGCUGCGAGAGCCUUGAGGAAAUAAUUCUGCUGUUCUGGUGCAGGGCGCUUCGCGCGCUGUAGGGCGCGUCGCGCCCUCUUUGAGUUUGAAGAGCUUAGUCUGGCAGAAGUUAGGGCGCGUCGCGCCGGAUUAGGGCGCGUCGCGCCGGAGGGCGGUUUGCUAAAUUUAUAAAGGGCGCAUCGCGCCGAAAUAGGGCGCGUCGCGCCCACUGCGAAACUCAGUUUUGUAUAAAUAGUUAAUAACAGAUUUUUUAGGUUUUUUAUCACCUCUUCUUGACAAGUUGAGCUCUGAUCCUUUUUUGGUAGUUUAGAGGCUUAGGAAACACCAUUGGGUGAGACGUCAUGUGGAUUGAUCAUGGAUCUGACUCGAUUUCAUUGUACCGGUGAGAUCUUUCCAGUUCAUCUUCUCUCUUCCCUUUGUUUCAUUCCAAUGGUGGGUGUUGUAUGUUUGUUUCUACUCUUAAUGUAUGUAUAUUUGUGGAUCUUGGGAUCGUUUAUAUAUUCUCUUUACAAAUCAUCAUUGUUGUUGUUCUUGAUCUUUUUGCUUAAAUGCUCUGGAUUUGUGUUGUUGCAGACAUGGACACCAUAGAUUUUGAUUAGGAAUGAUAAUUGUUAGUUUCUGGGUUGCAGACAUGGAUUCAGGAUUAACAAUCUUAGUGGGUAUCGAGUCUAAUGCCUCCGUGUUGUUUGUGUCGGUGGAGAAAUCGCUGAUGUGAAUAGUACGGUUGAGCUUUCGUCGGUGUUGCAGACAUGGGCACCGAUGCGGCAUCUCGAGUGAUGCCCGGUGAUGUUGAUGCGUAUUGUGAGUGUAGAGCGAUAGAUCUUCAGAUUUAAGUAUUCGACGGGUAGAACGAAAUGCAAUUCCAUAACUAUUUCUCUUAGGCUAUUGAGAUUGUUUAUCUGCUUUUAUUUACUUUUCCCGCAUUUACCUUUCCGCACCCAAAUCAUGAAACUUAGAACGCGAGAUAGUCGAACGGCAGUUCUUCUCACCGAUCUCUGUGGACACGAUAAUUCCCGGAUGAAUACUUCCAAAACUUUUGUUGCUUGCCGCUUUACCGCUUCAACAAAAUGGCGCCGUUGCCGGGGAUUGGUUGAGAUUAAUCGCAUUGCGAUGGUUUUAUGUUUUAAGUUUCGUAUAGUUUUGAUUAAGUGUUUGGGCAGGUCAUUUUCUUUAGGUUGCGUUUGAGGCGAAAGCAUUGGCGUACCGCGAGGAAGUUUCUUACCAUUCGCGAAACAAUAAAGGCGUCGAGCUAACGACGUUAAACGAGCGCUUGUUGGGAGGCACCCCAACGGUUUUAUUUUUCUGUUUUUCUGUAAUUGAGUUUUGUAGGUGUUAAGUGGUGGCUCACUGGAAAAUCUGUCUUUUUAGACUGGUCUGGUUUUUCUGGUGUAGCGCGCGUCGCGCGCUCAUGGGUGCGUCGCGCGCUGGGUUGCUUUUGGCCAGUGACCUCUUUUUAACGGGUCACUCGGCUCGCCUUUUUCCCACUUACACCAAGGCUUUAUAGUAUAGUAUUUUAUCGAUUUAUUUUUAAUUCUUUUGUUUGUGUUUAGACUCAAAUUUUGGCCCGAUUACUUGGAGUCGCAUUUGGUAAUUCUCCGAUUGUGAUAGAUUCAACAUGCCGGUUGUGCGGUAAUGAUUGUUCGAAUUUGUACAUAGCAAGGUACUCGUUUAUCGCUUUCUAUAGCAUAGCAUGUUUUUGAGACUUUUCAUUUGUACAAAUUUCAUACUAUUCAUUCUUUUUGCAUAACUUGCUCAUGACUUGAAUCACAAUUAGUUUCCCCUUUUUACCAUAAAUGUGAGGUGGCUUUCCAUUGUGUAUAUAUGUGAGUGACCGACAUUUCUUGUUUUAACUGGAUAUUAUUAUGUUUAAUCUUUCGUCUGUAUCGAUUUUGUGAAUGCACGAAAGUGAUCAAGGCACUUGUUUGAUUUUGAGCACAACUACCAUAAGCCAAAUGUCAUUUUACCUUGUGAGUGUGUGACCAUUCGUACCCCCUUUGAGCCUUUUUGUCAUUGUCCAUUUUGUUUUUGAACUUGAGACAUAGUUCACCCUUUUUGAUGGAUUUUGAUUAUCUUUGUUUUCUUGACCUUAACUAUGAUGUUUAGUUGGAUUUUUACCUUGCCUUAGAAAGUAGGGAGUAUUCACUUUAUGUUAUGGUUGAAUUCAAGUUGGGGAGAAGGUGUUUGCCUCUUUAUGUUGUGAUUGAUGUGAGGUUAAGAAAAGAAAAAGAAAAAAAAAGUGAGAAAGAAAGAAAAGAAAAAGAAAGAAAAAAAGAGAAAAGCUUGAAAAAGAAAAGAACAAAAAGAGUUUUGAAUAAGAGUGUGCUAAUAAGUUUUGUGUUUGGUGUGAAAUUUGUGAUGAAGAGAAAAGUUGGAUUGAAAUUGUAUUGUUUGAAACUUUGUGGAAGUAAUUACUCCCUUAGGUUUAGGCAAGUUUUUGUUUCGAUUAGCUUUAGGACUUAUCACUUGUUUGUUAACCGAGCCACAUUACAACCUUAAAAGCCCUUGUGAUUCGUGCUGUUGCAUUUUCAAUACUAUUUUUAGAUGAAUGCAUAAUUUUGUCUAUUGUUUUCAAGAUUGUUGGAUGAGUGUUCAAAGUCCUCACCUUUCGGUGUUUUUCAUCUACAGAUGAGUUUUUGCUAGGCGUGAUUCAUUAUUGAGCUUGUUUUGUUUUAGGAUGUUUUGUAUGAAUUUUUGUACUUAGGAAUCGUUUCAUUUUCAUGUUGUCAUUGUAGGAUAGUGGUAAGUAUUUACUUUUUUCGUACGUUUUUGUUUGAACCGUACAAUUGUUUUGUUUUUCCAAAUCUUGUUGAUUCUUGAUUCUUUGGAUUUUUACUUUUGCGAUUUGAGUGUUUGGCCCUGUUUGAGGACAAACAGAUUCUAGUUGGGGAGAGUUGUUAAGUGCCAAAUUGUAGUUAUUUUGUGUAUGUAAAUAGUGGCACUUAUCAAUGCUUUUUGUUAAUACCGUUUGAAUAAUCCCCCGUUUUUGUGUAAUUACGUUAACUUUACGAAUACUUGUAUUUUCAUACACUUUUAUACCGUUUGAUAGUUUUGUUGUAUUUUUGUAGGUAUUCUUGCAUUUUCGGAGCCUUGAGGAAUAAAGUGUCGAAGACACGGCUGCGAGAGCCUUGAGGAAAUAAUUCUGCUGUUCUGGUGCAGGGCGCUUCGCGCGCUGUAGGGCGCGUCGCGCCCUCUUUGAGUUUGAAGAGCUUAGUCUGGCAGAAGUUAGGGCGCGUCGCGCCGGAUUAGGGCGCGUCGCGCCGGAGGGCGGUUUGCUAAAUUUAUAAAGGGCGCAUCGCGCCGAAAUAGGGCGCGUCGCGCCCACUGCGAAACUCAGUUUUGUAUAAAUAGUUAAUAACAGAUUUUUUAGGUUUUUUAUCACCUCUUCUUGACAAGUUGAGCUCUGAUCCUUUUUUGGUAGUUUAGAGGCUUAGGAAACACCAUUGGGUGAGACGUCAUGUGGAUUGAUCAUGGAUCUGACUCGAUUUCAUUGUACCGGUGAGAUCUUUCCAGUUCAUCUUCUCUCUUCCCUUUGUUUCAUUCCAAUGGUGGGUGUUGUAUGUUUGUUUCUACUCUUAAUGUAUGUAUAUUUGUGGAUCUUGGGAUCGUUUAUAUAUUCUCUUUACAAAUCAUCAUUGUUGUUGUUCUUGAUCUUUUUGCUUAAAUGCUCUGGAUUUGUGUUGUUGCAGACAUGGACACCAUAGAUUUUGAUUAGGAAUGAUAAUUGUUAGUUUCUGGGUUGCAGACAUGGAUUCAGGAUUAACAAUCUUAGUGGGUAUCGAGUCUAAUGCCUCCGUGUUGUUUGUGUCGGUGGAGAAAUCGCUGAUGUGAAUAGUACGGUUGAGCUUUCGUCGGUGUUGCAGACAUGGGCACCGAUGCGGCAUCUCGAGUGAUGCCCGGUGAUGUUGAUGCGUAUUGUGAGUGUAGAGCGAUAGAUCUUCAGAUUUAAGUAUUCGACGGGUAGAACGAAAUGCAAUUCCAUAACUAUUUCUCUUAGGCUAUUGAGAUUGUUUAUCUGCUUUUAUUUACUUUUCCCGCAUUUACCUUUCCGCACCCAAAUCAUGAAACUUAGAACGCGAGAUAGUCGAACGGCAGUUCUUCUCACCGAUCUCUGUGGACACGAUAAUUCCCGGAUGAAUACUUCCAAAACUUUUGUUG